rnacentral:lncRNA from 1 species
CUAAGAAGUGAUUACGGAAUCACUUACCUUGAGCGUCCAUUUUCGCAUUGGGUUCCUUGUCCCCUCUUGACCCGUUAGUCUUUCGUGCUUGAGUCCAUGUCCACAUGAUCCCUAAUGCUUUCAUUCUUUCGUGCUUGAGUCCACGUCCACAUGAUCCCUAAUGCUUUCAUGUUACCGCAAUCACAUCCUUGUUAGUGUAUACGAUUUCACAUCUAAAUGAUCAUAUCAAAAGCGUAACUCACAUUUGACUUUCAUGGUCAAGUCUAAUAAACAUAAAGCAUACAUCCAAAAACCACAUCUUUUUAGACUCAUGCAAUCCAUCACGUUAACGCAUAAAACACAUAUUAAUUUAGCACCUACCAUACGACACUAUGUACAUUUCGUACUUAUGAUGCUAAAGUACUUACAACCACAUGAUCACAUAAUCAUACUCGCAUACACAUUUGCUUACAUAUACUUUCACAUAUCAUACACCUUCGCUCUUAAUUACCUUGAGUCAAGCACAUCUAAUACAAGGUGAGCAUUACACCAUUCAAGCACAAGGUACAAGCUCCUAAUGCAUAAUUUUACCAAACCAUACAUUCAAUCCGAAUUCUCAUAUGGACUCCACCUUAAGCACACUUAACAUAUUAUUUUGCUAACGACUACACCAUAAACACCUUCUAUACAUACUACCCACAACUUUCAUACGAUUUCACAAUUUUGUUCUCUUAGGCAUUUCAUCGAACACUUGGCGGGUAUCACAUUUGUAAAACAUUAUGUACAAGCUUUUAAAGCGUGAUUCCUACUAAUUCUUCCCAUAACUUAUUAACAAUCAAUCAAGCUCAUAACAAUAUUUCGCCCUAACUACGGACAUAUGGUUGUGACACCAAUUGUUCAUAACAAGAUCAUCAAAAACAAUCAAAUUAACACGUAGAAAUCUCAAUAUUUCUAGCCAUUCCUUGACAUGCAAGUGGGUUUUGCCUAAUCCAUGUUCAUAUUCAAAAUUUAACAUAUCUUGAUGUCUACUCAGCCAUUGCAACCAUCAUUCAUACUAGAUUUAGCAUUACAUUCACGAAUUACACUAAACCCACUAAAUCAAACAUCACCA